rnacentral:rRNA from 1 species
CACGUAGGGGGCAAGCGUUGUCCGGAUUUAUUGGGCGUAAAGAGCUCGUAGGCGGUUCGGUAAGUCGGGUGUGAAACCUCCAGGCUCAACCUGGAGACGCCACCCGAUACUGCUGUGACUAGAGUCCGGUAGGGGAGCGUGGAAUUCCUGGUGUAGCGGUGAAAUGCGCAGAUAUCAGGAGGAACACCAGCGGCGAAGGCGGGUCUCUGGGCAGUAACUGACGCUGAGGAGCGAAAGCGUGGGGAACGAACAGG